rnacentral:lncRNA from 1 species
GUGCAAGUCAAACAGGAAAAAUGAAUUUCAAGAAAUCAUCACCAUCAAGGAGAUGGUGAAAGAAGUAAUACCUUUUUAUUUGACUUGGGCCUGUUUUCCUGAGGUCUUUGACUUCGCCUCUUCCCUUGGAAAUCAUCUCUUUGAUGGUGAUGAUUUCUUGAAAUUCAUUUUUCCUGUUUGACUUGCACUUAGUCAGGUAUCACCAUCUCCUUGAUGGCGAUGAUUUCUUGAAAUUCAUUUUUCCUGUUUGACUUGCACUUAGUCAAGGUGUGAUGGUGAAAGAAGUAAUACCUUUUUAUUUGACUUGGGCCUGUUUCCCUGAGGUGUUUCUAGUUCAGUUAGAGUCCCUUCAUAUUAUAACCAAGGAGGGAAUCUAAGUCAGAGAUUUGACCAACUUAGGAUAAAUUCUCAAAGUCAGACAUUCCCUACAGUUUUAUGUUAAUCGAUUACUUUAAAUGCUUGAAAUCUCCUCCUUGUUUCGAGGACACUAAUUGCAGUAUUAAUCUCAUACAUCCCACAGCUGGAUCAGGCAACUUGGUUACUCUUAAAGAAGUUCUGAUACCUGAUGCAGGCUUUUUCUACAUCCUUAGGUUGUAGACAUCAGUUUACACAAGGAAUGUCCCUUUAUAUGCCUUUGAGAUUACAUGCCUAUCAAGAUUAUUCUAUUAAUUUGGCUCUUAAA